rnacentral:rRNA from 1 species
AUACGUAGGGGGCGAGCGUUGUCCGGAAUGAUUGGGCGUAAAGGGCGCGUAGGCGGCGCGGUAAGUCUGGAGUGAAAGUCCUGCUUUCAAGGUGGGAAUUGCUUUGGAUACUGCCGCGCUUGAGUGCAGGAGAGGUUAUCGGAAUUCCCGGUGUAGCGGUGAAAUGCGUAGAGAUCGGGAGGAACACCAGUGGCGAAGGCGGGUAACUGGACUGCAACUGACGCUGAGGCGCGAAAGUGUGGGGAGCAAACAGGAUUAGAUACCCUGGUAGUCCACACUGUAAACGAUGAAUGCUAGGUGUAAGAGGUAUCGACCCCUUUUGUGCCGGAGUUAACACAAUAAGCAUUCCGCCUGGGGAGUACGGCCGCAAGGUUGAAACUCAAAGGAAUUGACGGGG